rnacentral:rRNA from 1 species
UACAGAGGUGCCAAGCGUUAGGCGGAAUCACUGGGCUUAAAGCGUGUGUAGGUGGGUCGUUAAGUGUCCGCGUGAAAUCCCACGGCUCAACCGUGGAACUGCCGGGCAUACUGGCGAUCUUGAGGCAUUCAGGGGCGAGCGGAACAAAUGGUGGAGCGGUGAAAUGCGUAGAUAUCAUUUGGAACGCCAAUGGUGAAAACAGCUCGCUGGGAAUGAUCUGACACUGAGACGCGAAAGCCAGGGGAGCGAACGGG